rnacentral:rRNA from 1 species
CCGCCCGUCACACCAUGGGAGUUGGAUUCACUCGAAGGCGUUGAGCUAACUCGCAAGAGAGGCAGGCGACCACAGUGGGUUUAGCGACUGGGGUGAAGUCUAACGGGGGGGGGGGGGGGGGGGGG